rnacentral:rRNA from 1 species
AGCGAACGCUGGCGGAAUGCUUAACACAUGCAAGUCGCGCGGGGGCUUCGGCCUUAGCGGCGGACGGGUGAGUAACGCGUAGGAACGUGUCCAGGGAUGGGGGGAUAACGCCGGGAAACUGGCGCUAAUACCGCAUAUGGCCUUUGGGUCAAAGCCUUCGGGUGUCUUGGGAGCGGCCUGCGUCCGAUUAGGUAGUUGGUGGGGUAAAGGCCUACCAAGCCUGUGAUCGGUAGCUGGUCUGAGAGGACGAUCAGCCACACUGGGACUGAGACACGGCCCAGACUCCUACGGGAGGCAGCAGUGGGGAAUAUUGGGCAAUGGGCGCAAGCCUGACCCAGCAAAGCCGCGUGGGUGAAGAA